UGGGGAAUUUUGGACAAUGGGCGAAAGCCUGAUCCAGCGAUGCCGCGUGUGUGAAGAAGGCCUUCGGGUUGUAAAGCACUUUUGUCCGGAAAGAAAUCCUUGGCUCUAAUACAGUCGGGGGAUGACGGUACCGGAAGAAUAAGCACCGGCUAACUACGUGCCAGCAGCCGCGGUAAUACGUAGGGUGCAAGCGUUAAUCGGAAUUACUGGGCGUAAAGCGUGCGCAGGCGGUUUGCUAAGACCGAUGUGAAAUCCCCGGGCUCAACCUGGGAACUGCAUUGGUGACUGGCAGGCUAGAGUAUGGCAGAGGGGGGUAGAAUUCCACGUGUAGCAGUGAAAUGCGUAGAGAUGUGGAGGAAUACCGAUGGCGAAGGCAGCCCCCUGGGCCAAUACUGACGCUCAUGCACGAAAGCGUGGGGAGCAAACAGGAUUAGAUACCCUGGUAGUCCACGCCCUAAACGAUGUCAACUAGUUGUUGGGGAUUCAUUUCCUUAGUAACGUAGCUAACGCGUGAAGUUGACCGCCUGGGGAGUACGGUCGCAAGAUUAAAACUCAAAGGAAUUGACGGGGUCAUAGCUGUUUCC
rnacentral:rRNA from 1 species